ensembl:lncRNA
GUUUUACGGAUGUGCUUUUAUUUGCUGAUGUCUGGUCUGUGAAGAGGGGCACCAUGGGUGUGUCGGGUUCGACCGGAGGAACAUGAUGAUGCCCGGCCCAACAGGACAUUGCUGACGUGGCACUUAGGCAGGUCCUGGUCCCAAUGCAAGAGUAUUUAAUGCACUUUAUAGGUGAAUUUGUGCACACAUAUGCCAACCUGCUUUGCCAUGCAUUUCAUUGUCCCCAGCGUUCGAAUCCGCUGAAUUUUAAUGGCGUAAAUUCCCAUAUGUUUCAGUUUGCACCUGGUUUGUUUCAGUGUUUUUCUUUUCUGACCAGUUUCUUUCUCCCUCACUCUCUCUUUGCCAGGUCACGUCCCGCGCCAGCUUUGGAUGAAGAGUGGCCCAAACAGAAGGACACAGCUUCAGUCAGACUCACUUUACAAGGCUGUCAAAGACGCAAGCACCAGCUGCGAGAGUAGACCUGAAACGAGCACGUGGAGCUGGCUCCACACGCAUCUUCACCGGAAACGGUCUAAAUGGCUUCAGAUAUAAGACAGUCGACAUCUACGAGAUGGUGGCAGCCGCCAUUUUGUGAUGUGCUUGGCCUCAGAGAGGUGAAGUAUAUUUCCGUGAGUGUUUGCACAGCAACAUAUUAAUAUUAGCCUUAUGUUUUCAACAAUCCUCCUGUUCUGAAUGUGGUAUCUGGGUACGUUUAGCACGUAGCAUCUUUCGCAUAUUUUCUCGUGCACUCCGCAGUGCAAUAAUUGUGAACGAAUGCACAGCUAUUGCAAUCGUACCACUUUUGGAUUUAUGAUUCAUCUGAAAUAUGCUGUUCUGUUUUGUCUCAAAUAGGAGCCGUGUUUAAACAUAAAGGCAGUGUUAAAGUUCAGGUCAUUAAUAGUUGGCCAGUAACCUGUAAGUAAAUGCUUGUCCUUGGUCGAACACGAUGGCACUGCUGCAGCACCACAAACAAAAAAAACUAAUAAACGGAGAGACGUUCCAGCGAAAUAACAAAAGAUAAAGCUGUUGCUGUGCUGCUCGCUCAGUCUUUGGGGAUGCAGUGGGCUAUCAGAAGUUUGAAAUUAAAUAUAAGCAUGUACGGUUUUAUCUGCGAGGGCACCGAUUGGUCCGAAGCCGUGGCGAGAUGUGACGUGGGAGGAAAACGGCGGGGUCCCUACCUAACACCGUUGAUGAUGUCCAACAGGCCGCACGAUCCACGCAAGCUUGCUUUUUCACUCCGAAUGCACUAACUUUGCAGUUCUGCUUGGCAGUGUGUUAGUGUGUGAGGACAGACGUGAGCCAGUGGCGAAGGGGACGGGUGCGCCCUCGUGCAUCGGCCAUGUUAGAUCAGCCCGAUCGCAGCAUUCACACUUUUAGACAUUGAAAGACGCUGGUUAGGAAAGCAGCCCCACCUUCUGAAAUGUCACAAGUCUUCCCACAAUCCCCAGAGAGACUGCAAAGAGAAGUGUUGAGUAAGUCCGCAAGAGCUGGAAAGAGAUUUUCGCAGUUCGCAGGCUUUCUCUCUUUCUGCGCUCUCAUUAGUUGAGCCGCCGAGAGGAAGCGUGAGGGGGAGAGAGAGAAAGAAAGAAAGAAAGAGAGAGAAUGAGCGUGUGCUCUGCAUUCGGAGGGAAAAAAAGUUUGUACAGUGAGUCCGGCCUCGAGGGGUUUCUGGAGCGAGAGCCAGAGCAAACACAACCUUUUUUGCUGUGUCGUUUUCCUUUUCAUUUAUUACAAUAGCGCCUGCCAUAGCGUUGAACACUGGGAAGAAAUGGAGGGAAACGAUAUCGCCACACAUCCCUUGCAGCACGGUGAGGGUGUGUUUGAGGGAACGUCUAAUGUUUUUUGUCGUUUUCUUUCCCAGCCUCGUUCUGUCACCGCAAGGGAGGGAUUCAAGGGAACGGGGCAGAUGGACGGAUGAACGAAGGGUAGAGAGAUAGAGAGAGAGAGAAAGAGAGAGAGAGAAAGGGCACGUGAGGAGAGCAGUAUCGUGGGGGUGGAGCCUGUCCAUUUUCCUCCUUUCUCAUUGGCUGGAAGGUCAGAGCUGUUCCUCAAAUCCAGUGCGGAGACUCUGAUUGGUUGGAUGUGGGUGUUUCUUUAAGUACAGGCACUUUUAUGAACCAGGAGUUGAUUUAUAUUAACCAACAGACUUUAAUUUUUGCUUUUAAGAAAUGCUUUCAUUUAGGUUUUCUUUCAAAUAUUUGUCCUGACCCUAGUCUGAAACUAUGAAAAUGCAUUGUAAAAAUAUUGAUUGCAUUUUUAAAACUAUGGUGUAAACAAAAAGUUACCAUUUCAAUAUUUAUAAUGUGAAAAUGAUUUAUAAAUUUUUUUGUGCAUAAAUUACAACCGUCUGUUAUGAGUUUCAGUGUAAUUUCCACUAUGACAAACCGUUUCGCCCCUAAUAAGUUUAGUCAGUGAAGACCUCGAGAUGAUAUAUGACACUUGAUGCAUUAAGAAGUCAAAGUUAAAUUAAGGUAAUUACUGGACAUGUAUAGUGGACAAUUUAAAUGAACUAGUAAGAUUCGGAAAAUGUCUGUUUUAGGAAACUCUAUUUUCAAAGUCGAGUGAACUUGAUGGUUUAAAGUAACAUUAUACUUUAUUUGAGGAAGACACCGAAGUUUAAGUUGUUAGUGAACAAAAAUCCUCCUUUUUUCACGUUCAUGUGCAGAAUUCAAAAUUAGCUUGUUGAGUCCGGACAUACAUGUGAACAAUGCCAUUUUGGCAUCAAAUACUUGGACACGCCAUUUCAUUUUUUGGGGUUAUAUGUGGUGUUAUCAGUCCUUUUUGGAUUGUUCGGAGAAGUCUACUUUGUGUUCGAGAAGAAAUAAACCUGCAGCAUUCAGGGUUUCGAAAUGUUAAAGUGUACUUUUAAAGCAAACCUUUAAAGCAACCAAAUGAAUGUUUGAUGGAAAGAAGAACUAACAAUAAAUCUACUGUUUACGUUCAGAAACUGUGUGGAAUUCGAAGUUUCAAAUACUUUUUCUGCAGAAAGUUGCGUUCUUCUGCUGUGUUUCCACUCCUUUUUCUUUCUUUCUGGUUGGAUUAUCUGUGUGUGUGUGUGUGUGUGUGUGUGUGUGUGUGUGUGUGUGUGUGUGAGAGAGAGAGAGAGAGAGAAAAACACACUGAGUCUGCGCGCUGGGGGAGGAGUAUCUAUGUCACACUCUCUCUCUCUCUCUGUCUUUCUCCUCCCGCUCCGUACUUGCAGUUUUUCCGCCCUCCCACUUCUCUCUCUCUCUUUUUCUCUCUCUUUCAAGUGCAAGGCCAUGUGGGACGUCUGAUGAGGAGUUUCACCCCUCUACGUCUCCAGUUUCAUAUCUCUCUUUCCCUCUCCACCGUUCUUUCGCUUUCCGUACGGGUUCCUCGAGCUCCGCUGUUUUUGCAAGGUGGAGACCCACUGGAGACUAGUUUAGAGAGUGUAAGGGGGAUAAAGGGGAAAGAAAAAACCAAGCUUCUUCUUUUUUUUUUUUUACAGUGAGGGCCUCCUGACUAGAGCGCGAAAGAGGCUCCCCCACAAGCCUGCCAACACGCUCCCAGAUUUCCAGUAUGUUUCUGUGCUUUUUCAUGCACCCGAUUGCGGAAUUUUAGCAAGGUUUGCAACUGCAUUCGGUUUGCGAAGUGCCUAUUUUGACAUUUUCUUUUUCAAUUUCAGUGAGCGGCCGAGUCCACCUUGACCCGCAGCCCACGCCGGUGCAGGGCCAGGCCAAAAACCUGCUGGAUUUGCCAAUUGGAAGUACUGACCUACGACUUACCCGUUCCCGAUGCAUUCGGACAGGGGAUUCCGGAGUGAAGCUGCUCCACUCUGGGACAGGUGCCAAUUGCUCACAAAAGGCGAGUGAAAAUAUCAGUGAUCUGCACAAGGAAACGUCGGGGGUGAGUGGAAAAUGCAAACUCGCAUGCAUCCGUGCAACUAACGCAGAAAAAAGUGAAGGAUGGUUGCGAGGGGAGGGGAAGACACAGAAAAAGAGGAUCGUGAAAGAAGAGGUGGGGGCGUUUAUUCAAGCCUGUUUGAUGCUCCUCGGGCCUUCGAGAGCCGAUCGCAUGUGCCGUGGUAACUGCGGGACCAUUUGCAUGUGGCAGACACGCUAAUUGUGUGUUUGCUAACACGCACCAUUCAGCGAGACGCGCUCCGGUCCACAGACGGUGUUCACACACGCCUCCCAGACGCCCCGGAGGCCUCCUAUUGUUCCAGAGGCCCAGCCGAACAGCCGGAGAGCCUAACCAGAGCCCUAUGCUGGCCUGCCGAGAGGAGAAACUGGAAUUGGAGACCAGACGGGAUAACGGAACGGGACGGACUCGCAGCCCCUCUCUCUCUUUCUCUCCGCAGCAAGAAAAAAGAGGCCUGUGGGAAGCGCUGCCUCCGGACGCUGACGUCCUCGCAGAUGUGUGCAAAAGUAGAGUUUGAAAUGGACUAACCAAGAUGCAGCCCUGCACAGGUCAGUACGGAUAUUAUUAUCUUUUAUAACUACUUUAAUAACAUGGGGAAAAAUAUUUAAUUUAGGAAAUGAAUGCCUGUGCAUUUAACAAUCUCAUGCGGUGGCUUUAUAUUUAUUGAUUAGAUGGUCUGUAUUCUAAACUAUAAGAUGAACUGAAAUGCAUUGAUUGUUUUUUCACAAUUAUUUUAUUUGUUUAAUGAAUCAGAAAUAUAUUUUUUUUUUAGAAAAGAGUAGUUUCACUACUGUUUUUAAACAGUAUAAUGAAUAUAAUACACAUUUGUAUGUUCUACCUUGGUGGAAAACACAUUUACUUUCUUAUGCACCUGAUAGUGUCGCCCUCUAGAGUCCAAAGCCAACUUGACAAUACCAUAAUCACAAAGCAGAUGUCAAAAUUCAUGUGUGAAUUGCCCAGUGCAGUUACCACCGUAGAUGCUAAACUUUAAUAGAAUCACUAAAUUGUCCAAAAGAGUAAAUAAAGCAAGACACUACAGGCAAAAACUUAUUUUUUUUUCAUGCACUGGUCAGUUCUGGGAUUUUGCUUUUCAUAAUGUGUUGACUUAAGGCAAAUUAUACUUUUUUAUUGCACUUAAACUAUUUGCAUUUGUAGAUUUCAAUUACAAUAUUUUAUAAUAUUUUAUAUUUAAUAUUUUAUAUAUUCAAUAACAAUUUUCUCAAAAUGAGUUUGUCUCUCCACUUCAGCAGCACUUACAUACACCAAAAUUUACAGUUUUAUUCCUGUCUAUAUUCUGAAGGAUUUCAUAGAAGGGUUUGUUCAUGUGUCAUUCACCUGAUUUUAUUAUUGAACUUUAUCUCUUUAUGUCUGUAGAUUUCAAUUACGCUGCAUAUCUUUAAAGGUCGUUUACUCAAAACGAGUUUGUUUCUCUACUUCAGCAGCACUCACAUACACCAAAUUUUAAAGUUUUAUUCCUCUCUAUAUUCUGAGGCUUUUUAUAGAAGGGUUUUUUUAUAUGUCAUUUAUACAUCAUUUUAUUCCUAACAGCAUAGUGAAAAUGACUUUAUUUUGGCUUUUGACAGUAUUUACUGAAUUACGAAGCAAUAAAAACAGAAAUCCAAAAUCCCAUCUGUAAAAACCUUUUACUCUAAUAUGUAAAUAGAAUGAAAUUAGAAUUUUGAAUCAGGCUUUGUCCAGUGUUCAUAUAUAUGUUCUGGAAAUAUAUGUAAAUGACUGCACAUUUUAUUAGAUAAUGCAUCAUUUGUUUUUGUUUUUAAAUAAUUUUUCAGAAAAUUGUGAUGCAAAAAAAAUGUCUGCAAUUCUUAAUGGAACUGGGGAAGUAUGGUAAUAUAUUUUGGUUCAUUUUUUUAACCCAGUUCAUCUGUGGUAUUUUGCAUUAACUCCUAGUGCAGCCGCUGUGGACAUAUUUCCAGAUUUAGUCUUGAUUGUGAAUGAUCCACAUGUCAUUUCGCCUACCCACAAGUCACGACAAAACUGUGGGUGCUAACAGAGCUCCUAUCUAGUUAAGAUGUUUUUAUGCUUUUAUUGAAGUUUUCAUUUUUUAAAUAAUGUAAUUUCAUCCUCCUGAGUGGAGGGUGAGAGACUUGUUCAAAGGCAGCUGGAUGUUUUAUCACUGACAGUAAAAUGUCUUCAAAUUUGUGGAAUAAUUUGUUUUUGGUUAAUAUUUGUCAAAAAUUGGUCAAGUGUGUUAAACUGUUGCCAUCAUCUUGUUUACAGCUGAUUAUUAUUUGUUAUGUUUACAGUAGCUGAUAAAUCAAGUGCAAGUCAUGUGAUCUGUGCCUAUAUUUCUGAGUUUGCUCUGAAACGCACAACUUUGGACAGAACAAAAAUGAGUUGGAGAUGAGCAUUGUAGGCUAUCACUCUUAAAAAUAAAGGUUCUUUAUUAGAUACUUCUCUAAAAAAAUAAAGUUUCCAAAAGGGGGUUUCAUAGGGAUGCAACAGAACCUUUCAGUGAACCAUCUUUUUUCUUAGUGUGAAGAACAUUGUAAUAAUCUGAAAAAACCUUUUUCUGCUAUACAGAACCAUAAAGGUUCCAUGGAUGUUAAUAGUUCUUCAUGGAACCAUCAGUGCCAAUCUAGAACCUUUAUUUUUAAGAGUGUAAAGAAUCUUUUGUGGAAUGGAAAGGUUCUAUUAAUGUUAAAGGUUCUUCAUGGAGCCAUAAAAGCCAAAAAUAAAGAUUCCAAAAAGAGGUUUUCGCAGUGAUGCCAUGGAAGAACCAUUUUUGGUUCCCCAAAGAACCCAUCAGUUAUCAGUUCUUAAAAUAACCUUUUUUUUCUUAGUUUGAAGAACAUUUUAAUAAUCUGACAAACCUUUUUCCAUUAUAAAGAAUCUUUUGUGGAAUAGAAAGAUUGGAAGUUAAAGGUUCCUCGUGGAACUGUAGAUGCCAAUAAGAACCUUUAUUUUUUAGAGUCAAAGAAGGUUGUUUAUAUGAUUUAAAAUGUUCUUAACACUAAAAAAAAGGCUUCUUUUAAGAAGUGUUCACAGAAUGAUUUUUUGGAGCCCAGAGUUAGUCUUCUAAGACGGUGCUGCGAAAACCCCCUUUUGGAGCCUUUUAAGAGAACAAGAAAGAAAUAACAGCAUUCCUUCUUAUUUAGCCGCUUAAUUGUCACCAACUGACUGCAUGUAAAUAAGCGCCUUCACAGCAUCCAUCUGUCCCUCUCAGAGUCCUGACCUUGGAUCUGAGCCACAAACUUAUUUUUUCAGCAUUGGCAAGGAUCUAUAGCAGCAUUGUGAUCUCUCUCACCACCUUUACCAGCUGAAAUCCCUCCUAGUUUGGCUAGUUAUAGCACUGUUGGGGAAUAUCUAUCUUAUUUAUCUCUGGAAAAUAACUCACACUGGGUGAAAUCUGCAUUGUUAAUUGUUUGUUAGUUCACAGUUUUGAUGUGCAUCUAGUAAAUUAUUUUUGUGUAUUUGUUAUUUUUAUGUUUCCAUCAUAGUAUAUGCACUUCUUGCAAGAUAAAAAUAGUCAUAAAAGUUUUGUUAAAAAAAUUCAUGAACAUAUUGAAAAUUAUUUUUUUGUAAUUACUGUUUUAUAUUUGAAUAUGGAUAUGAAAAUAGUUUUUCCCAGAAGCACUUGACUUAAUAUAAGAGCAAGAGCAGUAAAACAGGUUUGUUUGCUACUAGUAAGCAAUGCUAGUCUUACACAAAGGGCCAGGAAUGCUAAAAGUUGAGUUGAAAUAAUCAUUUGAGCAAAUUAUUCAGCCACAUCGAGUUAAACUUGCAUGACCUUUUUUGUGCAUUUAGUAAAUUAUUUGUUAAACCUGUUUCCAUCAAAAUAUAUGCACUUCUUGUUAGAUAACGACAUUAAAAAAAUAAAUUUUUAAUGAACAUUUUAAAAUUUCAUUUGGGGGAAGAAAAAAGGUGUUUCCAUUCAACAUUUUCUAUGCAAUAAAAAAUUAGAGGAAGGGCAUCUGGCUGUUAUUAUUGUUUUAUAAUUGAUUAUGGAUUAAAAAAUAUAUAAAUAUUUUUCCCGAAUCACUUGACUUACUCUUAGAGCAAAAAAGUAAAACUGGUUUGUUGGCUGCUAGUAAGCAAUGCUAGUUUUACGCAACAGGCCCAGGAUUGUCAUCGUACCAGUUACUGCUGUUCCCCUACUUGGUUUUGGCAAGAAACACCAUCCAUAUUGCUGUGUAAAAAUGAAUUCUGAUCUAUAUUGCAUAACUGUACCCAAUGCACACGGAUUUCCAUGCCACCUCCUGUAGGAGCGCAGCACAGAAAUCUCUCUGAGAGUUCCUUUCCCACCAACCUGUGUCUGCUUACAUUUCCACCGAGCAGAUGGCCACGCAGCAUGGCAUGGGAUCUCACACGGUGUGACGCACUCACAUAUGUAACGGGAAAACUUCACAAGCGGACCAGGAGAAAUUUGGGUUAUUUUUCUGAUUGAAAGUCUCUCUAAACUAGCUACCACAUCUUAAGGGUUUUUAGAUCAUGCUACGUUCCACAGCUACAAGUCAAAUCUAGAUUUGCUAUCAAAAAUAGUAACCUCAGUAAAAUUAAAAAUGCCAUAAUUGUGUAAAAUUUAUAUAUAUAUAUAUUAUUUAUCAUCUUACCCAUUAUUGCAUCCACAAUUGCACCCAAAAAUGAAGUUUUGCUGAAAUCUUCUCAUCCUCAUGCCAUCCAAGAUGCAGAUGAGUUUGUUUCUUCAUCAGAUUUGGAGAAAUCCAAUGGAGCAAAUCAGUGGAUCCUCUGCAGUGAAUGGGUGCCGUCAGAAUGAGAGUCCAAACAGCUGAUAGAAACACCACAAUAAUCCACAAGUAAACCACUCCAGUCCAUCAAUUAAUGACUUGGAAAAGCCAAAAGCUACAUGUUUGUAAAAAACAAAUCCAUCAUUGAGACAUUUUUAACUUCAAACCUUUGCUUCUGGUUAAAAUACGAGUCCUCUGUCCAUGAUAUUGCUUUCUCAAAUGAAAAAUUUUUCUUGUCUGAAUCAGGAGAGAAAUCUGUACAUAUCAAGCACCAAUUACAAGCCAAAGCAGCUCUAAUCAAAUAUGUGGGUGGAUUUUGAUGUGAGAUGACAACAGAUGAUGGACUUUUUGACUGGAGAAGGACUCAUAUUUUGACCAGUUUGAAGUUAAAAUGCCUUGAUGAUGGAUAUGUUUCUCACAAACACACAACUCCUCUCUUCUCAAGAUGUUAAACUGAUGGACUGGAGUGGUGUGGAUUAUUGUGAUGUUUUU